AUAGCGUAUAUUAAAGUUGUUGCGGUUAAAAAGCUCGUAGUUGAAUCUGUGUCCCACGCUGUCGGUUCACCGCUCGCGGUGUUUAACUGGCAUGAUUGUGGGACGUCCUACCGGUGGGCUUAGCCCCUCGGGGCGGCCCAACUAAUAUCCCAUCGCGGUGCUCUUCGCUGAGUGUCGAGGUGGGCCGGUACGUUUACUUUGAACAAAUUAGAGUGCUUAAAGCAGGCUAUUUUCGCCUGAAUACUGUGUGCAUGGAAUAAUGGAAUAGGACCUCGGUUCUAUUUUGUUGGUUUUCGGAACCCCGAGGUAAUGAUUAAUAGGGACAGAUGGGGGCAUUCGUAUUGCGACGUUAGAGGUGAAAUUCUUGGAUCGUCGCAAGACGGACAGAAGCGAAAGCAUUUGCCAAAAAUGUUUUCUUUAAUCAAGAACGAAAGUUAGAGGUUCGAAGGCGAUCAGAUACCGCCCUAGUUCUAACCAUAAACGAUGCCAGCUAGCGAUCCGCCGAAGUUCCUCCGAUGACUCGGCGGGCAGCUUCCGGGAAACCAAAGCUUUUGGGUUCCGGGGGAAGUAUGGUUGCAAAGCUGAAACUUAAAGGAAUUGACGGAAGGGCACCACCAGGAGUGGAGCCUGCGGCUUAAUUUGACUCAACACGGGAAACCUCACCAGGCCCGGACACCGGAAGGAUUGACAGAUUGAGAGCUCUUUCUUGAUUCGGUGGGUGGUGGUGCAUGGCCGUUCUUAGUUGGUGGAGCGAUUUGUCUGGUUAAUUCCGAUAACGAACGAGACUCUAGCCUGCUAAAUAGGCGUACUUUCCGGUAUCUCGAAGGCCCCCGGCUUCGGUCGGGCGGUUUUUACUACCGGCGUACAAAUAAAUCUUCUUAGAGGGACAGGCGGCUUCUAGCCGCACGAGAUUGA
rnacentral:rRNA from 1 species